GGUUAAGCGACUAAGCGUACACGGUGGAUGCCCUGGCAGUCAGAGGCGAUGAAGGACGUGCUAAUCUGCGAUAAGCGUCGGUAAGGUGAUAUGAACCGUUAUAACCGGCGAUUUCCGAAUGGGGAAACCCAGUGUGUUUCGACACACUAUCAUUAACUGAAUCCAUAGGUUAAUGAGGCGAACCGGGGGAACUGAAACAUCUAAGUACCCCGAGGAAAAGAAAUCAACCGAGAUUCCCCCAGUAGCGGCGAGCGAACGGGGAGGAGCCCAGAGCCUGAAUCAGUGUGUGUGUUAGUGGAAGCGUCUGGAAAGGCGCGCGAUACAGGGUGACAGCCCCGUACACAAAAAUGCACAUGCUGUGAGCUCGAUGAGUAGGGCGGGACACGUGGUAUCCUGUCUGAAUAUGGGGGGACCAUCCUCCAAGGCUAAAUACUCCUGACUGACCGAUAGUGAACCAGUACCGUGAGGGAAAGGCGAAAAGAACCCCGGCGAGGGGAGUGAAAAAGAACCUGAAACCGUGUACGUACAAGCAGUGGGAGCACGCUUAGGCGUGUGACUGCGUACCUUUUGUAUAAUGGGUCAGCGACUUAUAUUCUGUAGCAAGGUUAACCGAAUAGGGGAGCCGAAGGGAAACCGAGUCUUAACUGGGCGUUAAGUUGCAGGGUAUAGACCCGAAACCCGGUGAUCUAGCCAUGGGCAGGUUGAAGGUUGGGUAACACUAACUGGAGGACCGAACCGACUAAUGUUGAAAAAUUAGCGGAUGACUUGUGGCUGGGGGUGAAAGGCCAAUCAAACCGGGAGAUAGCUGGUUCUCCCCGAAAGCUAUUUAGGUAGCGCCUCGUGAAUUCAUCUCCGGGGGUAGAGCACUGUUUCGGCAAGGGGGUCAUCCCGACUUACCAACCCGAUGCAAACUGCGAAUACCGGAGAAUGUUAUCACGGGAGACACACGGCGGGUGCUAACGUCCGUCGUGAAGAGGGAAACAACCCAGACCGCCAGCUAAGGUCCCAAAGUCAUGGUUAAGUGGGAAACGAUGUGGGAAGGCCCAGACAGCCAGGAUGUUGGCUUAGAAGCAGCCAUCAUUUAAAGAAAGCGUAAUAGCUCACUGGUCGAGUCGGCCUGCGCGGAAGAUGUAACGGGGCUAAACCAUGCACCGAAGCUGCGGCAGCGACGCUUAUGCGUUGUUGGGUAGGGGAGCGUUCUGUAAGCCUGUGAAGGUGUGCUGUGAGGCAUGCUGGAGGUAUCAGAAGUGCGAAUGCUGACAUAAGUAACGAUAAAGCGGGUGAAAAGCCCGCUCGCCGGAAGACCAAGGGUUCCUGUCCAACGUUAAUCGGGGCAGGGUGAGUCGACCCCUAAGGCGAGGCCGAAAGGCGUAGUCGAUGGGAAACAGGUUAAUAUUCCUGUACUUGGUGUUACUGCGAAGGGGGGACGGAGAAGGCUAUGUUGGCCGGGCGACGGUUGUCCCGGUUUAAGCGUGUAGGCUGGUUUUCCAGGCAAAUCCGGAAAAUCAAGGCUGAGGCGUGAUGACGAGGCACUACGGUGCUGAAGCAACAAAUGCCCUGCUUCCAGGAAAAGCCUCUAAGCAUCAGGUAACAUCAAAUCGUACCCCAAACCGACACAGGUGGUCAGGUAGAGAAUACCAAGGCGCUUGAGAGAACUCGGGUGAAGGAACUAGGCAAAAUGGUGCCGUAACUUCGGGAGAAGGCACGCUGAUAUGUAGGUGAAGCGACUUGCUCGUGGAGCUGAAAUCAGUCGAAGAUACCAGCUGGCUGCAACUGUUUAUUAAAAACACAGCACUGUGCAAACACGAAAGUGGACGUAUACGGUGUGACGCCUGCCCGGUGCCGGAAGGUUAAUUGAUGGGGUCAGCGCAAGCGAAGCUCUUGAUCGAAGCCCCGGUAAACGGCGGCCGUAACUAUAACGGUCCUAAGGUAGCGAAAUUCCUUGUCGGGUAAGUUCCGACCUGCACGAAUGGCGUAAUGAUGGCCAGGCUGUCUCCACCCGAGACUCAGUGAAAUUGAACUCGCUGUGAAGAUGCAGUGUACCCGCGGCAAGACGGAAAGACCCCGUGAACCUUUACUAUAGCUUGACACUGAACAUUGAGCCUUGAUGUGUAGGAUAGGUGGGAGGCUUUGAAGUGUGGACGCCAGUCUGCAUGGAGCCGACCUUGAAAUACCACCCUUUAAUGUUUGAUGUUCUAACGUUGACCCGUAAUCCGGGUUGCGGACAGUGUCUGGUGGGUAGUUUGACUGGGGCGGUCUCCUCCUAAAGAGUAACGGAGGAGCACGAAGGUUGGCUAAUCCUGGUCGGACAUCAGGAGGUUAGUGCAAUGGCAUAAGCCAGCUUGACUGCGAGCGUGACGGCGCGAGCAGGUGCGAAAGCAGGUCAUAGUGAUCCGGUGGUUCUGAAUGGAAGGGCCAUCGCUCAACGGAUAAAAGGUACUCCGGGGAUAACAGGCUGAUACCGCCCAAGAGUUCAUAUCGACGGCGGUGUUUGGCACCUCGAUGUCGGCUCAUCACAUCCUGGGGCUGAAGUAGGUCCCAAGGGUAUGGCUGUUCGCCAUUUAAAGUGGUACGCGAGCUGGGUUUAGAACGUCGUGAGACAGUUCGGUCCCUAUCUGCCGUGGGCGCUGGAGAACUGAGGGGGGCUGCUCCUAGUACGAGAGGACCGGAGUGGACGCAUCACUGGUGUUCGGGUUGUCAUGCCAAUGGCACUGCCCGGUAGCUAAAUGCGGAAGAGAUAAGUGCUGAAAGCAUCUAAGCACGAAACUUGCC
rnacentral:rRNA from 1 species